AAUACAUGACUACAAGUAAUUUAACAACAAUGAAUCAAAGUAGAACAAUGCUCGUACACCUAUUUCAUUAGUAAAUCUUCCCCUUCAUUGUUUCUUCUUGAAACAUAAGCUUCAGUUCCUCAAAAACCAUUUUCCUACCAUGGAGCAUUCACUGCUUCCUGAAACAUCAGCUCAUGCAUUUCAGCAUUCACCUUCAGAGCCUCUAUCUCAGCAUCUAGCCUUUCUCUUUGCUCUUUCAAUUCCACAAGCUUUGAUUCAAGACUUCUCAUCUCAGCAUCUAAACGAGCUUGUUCUACUCUAAAUUCUCUACACUCUGAUUCAACAGCCGCUUCUGAUUCUGCAGCAAGGCUCAUUAGCCUGCUCAACCGAGAUCGUAAAAACCCAACAUUCAUGCCCAGCAACUCAAAGCCUUUCAAAGUCUUGUCCCAAACUGCAAAAUCUGCAUGAGAGCUGGUAAGGUUGGAAGCUCUGAUGGCCUCUGAAACAUUAACAGUUUCAAUUAUUAUUUCAGCAGCCAAUUUAUAAUUAAUACUCUUGAGAAGAUUGUCAUGCAGAAAUGAUCUUUGUGAGCAGCAUAACUCGUAGUAUUUAGUCCUUUGGUGAUCAGAAAGCUCGCAUUCUAUAGCCAAGCCAUUGAUGAGAAUGCUGAAACUUUCAAUGCUUUCUACGUCUUUAAAAUCAACAGCAGUUCCUGAAGAUGUGACAACUUCCAAAGUUUUCAAGCAAUGAUCUUCAGUGUCAUUCUCAGAUUUAGUUGCUCCAGGCUCUUCAUUCAAAACCAUCAGGCUAUUCUCCUGGUUAUUGUCCUGCAGGUCUGUUGAAGGAAGCUCCAUAUGCUUGCCCUUUUUAUGCCCUUGUAUGUCCUUCUCAUCUCGAUC
rnacentral:misc_RNA from 1 species